rnacentral:rRNA from 1 species
UGGUGCCAGCAGCCUCGGUAANUUCGAGCUNCAAUANNGCGUAUAUUAAAGUUGUUGCAGUUAAAAAGCUCGUAGUUGAAUUUCGGGGUUAGUAGGUUGGUCAUGCCUCUGGUAUGUACUGGUCUCACUGAUUCCUCCUUCCUUAUGAACCGUAAUGCCAUUAAUUUGGUGUUGCGGGGAAUUUGNACUG